rnacentral:rRNA from 1 species
AUUGAACGCUGGCGGCAGGCCUAACACAUGCAAGUCGAGCGGAUGAAGAGAGCUUGCUCCUGGAUUCAGCGGCGGACGGGUGAGUAAGGCCUAGGAAUCUGCCUAGUAGUGGUUUAUAACGUCCUGAAACGGGCGCUAAUACCGCAUACGUCCUGAGGGAGAAAGUGGGGGAUCUUCGGACCUCACGCUCUCAGAUGAGCCUAGGUCGGAUUAGCUAGUUGGUGGGGUAAAGGCCUACCAAGGCGACGAUCCGUAGCUGGUCUGAGAGGAUGAUCAGUCACACUGGAACUGAGACACGGUCCAGACUCCUACGGGAGGCAGCAGUGGGGAAUAUUGGACAAUGGGCGCAAGCCUGAUCCAGCCAUGCCGCGUGUGUGAAGAAGGUCUUCGGAUUGUAAAGCACUUUAAGUUGGGAGGAAGGGCAGUAAGUUAAUACCUUGCUGUUUUGACGUUACCAACAGAAUAAGCACCGGCUAACUUCGUG